GCGCGUGUAGUUUAAGGGUAAAAUCCAUUGUUCCCACCAAUGGGCUCCGGGUUCGAGUCCCGGCGCGCGCA
rnacentral:tRNA from 1 species